rnacentral:rRNA from 1 species
AGAGUUUGAUCCUGGCUCAGAGCGAACGCUGGCGGCAGGCUUAACACAUGCAAGUCGAGCGGGUGUAGCAAUACAUCAGCGGCAGACGGGUGAGUAACGCGUGGGAACGUACCUUUUGGUUCGGAACAACACAGGGAAACUUGUGCUAAUACCGGAUAAGCCCUUACGGGGAAAGAUUUAUCGCCAAAAGAUCGGCCCGCGUCUGAUUAGCUAGUUGGUGAGGUAACGGCUCACCAAGGCGACGAUCAGUAGCUGGUCUGAGAGGAUGAUCAGCCACAUUGGGACUGAGACACGGCCCAAACUCCUACGGGAGGCAGCAGUGGGGAAUAUUGGACAAUGGGGGCAACCCUGAUCCAGCCAUGCCGCGUGAGUGAUGAAGGCCCUAGGGUUGUAAAGCUCUUUUGUGCGGGAAGAUAAUGACGGUACCGCAAGAAUAAGCCCCGGCUAACUUCGUGCCAGCAGCCGCGGUAAUACGAAGGGGGCUAGCGUUGCUCGGAAUCACUGGGCGUAAAGGGUGCGUAGGCGGGUCUUUAAGUCAGGGGUGAAAUCCUGGAGCUCAACUCCAGAACUGCCUUUGAUACUGAGGAUCUUGAGUCCGGGAGAGGUGAGUGGAACUGCGAGUGUAGAGGUGAAAUUCGUAGAUAUUCGCAAGAACACCAGUGGCGAAGGCGGCUCACUGGCCCGGUACUGACGCUGAGGCACGAAAGCGUGGGGAGCAAACAGGAUUAGAUACCCUAGUAGUCC